GAAUCUUCCGCAAUGGACGAAAGUCUGACGGAGCGACGCCGCGUGGUGGAUGAAGCGUUUCGGCGCGUAAACACCUUUUAUGAGGGAGGAAGUUUAUUGACGUUACCUCAUGAAUAAGGGGCUCCCAACUCUGUGCCAGCAGGAGCGGUAAUACAGAGGCCCCAAGCAUUAUCCGGAUUUACUGGGCGUAAAGGGUGCGUAGGCGGUGUUAUUAGUCGGGUGUUAAAUCCUGGGGCUCAACCUCAGAAUCGCAUUCGAAACGGUAAUACUAGAAGAAGUCAGAGGUAAACAGAACUCUCGGUGUAGGGGUGAAAUCCGUUGAUAUCGAGGGGAAUACCAAAUGCGAAGGCAGUUUACUGGGACUUUCUUGACGCUGAGGCACGAAAGCGUGGGUAGCGAAUCGG
rnacentral:rRNA from 1 species